rnacentral:rRNA from 1 species
UUGAUCUCAUAUCAGGCUGAACUUAAGCAUAUCAAUAAGCGGAGGAAAAGAAACUAACAAGGAUUCCCCUAGUAACUGCGAGUGAAGCGGGAAAAGCUCAAAUUUAAAAUCUGGCGGUCUUUGGCCGUCCGAGUUGUAGUUUAGAGAAGCGCCUUCCGUGCUGGACCGUGUACAAGUCUCCUGGAACGGAGCGUCGUAGAGGGUGAGAAUCCCGUCUUUGACACGGACUACCAGUGCUCUGUGAUGUGCUCUCGAAGAGUCGAGUUGUUUGGGAAUGCAGCUCAAAAUGGGUGGUGAACUCCAUCUAAAGCUAAAUAUUGGCGAGAGACCGAUAGCGAACAAGUACCGUGAGGGAAAGAUGAAAAGCACUUUGGAAAGAGAGUGAAACAGUACGUGAAAUUGCUGAAAGGGAAACGCUUGAAGUCAGUCGCGUUUGCCGGGACUCAGCCCCACCUCGGUAGGGUGUACUUCCUGGUAGACGGGCCAGCAUCACUUUUCUUCGCUGGAUAAGGCCAGGAGGAAGGUGCCCCUUCGGGGGUGUUAUAGCCUCUUGUCGGAUGCAGUGGAGGGGAGUGAGGCUCUCAGCGCGCCUUUGGUCGGGGUUCGCCUACGAUCGCGCUUAGGAUGCUGGCGUAAUGGCUUUAAACGACCNNUCUUGAAACACGGACCAAGGAGUCUAACAUGCCUGCGAGUGUUCGGGUGGAAAACCCGUGCGCGCAAUGAAAGUGAAAGUUGGGAUCCCUGUCGUGGGGAGCACCGACGCCCGGACUUGAGCUCUUGCGACGGUUCCGCGGUAGAGCAUGUAUGUUGGGACCCGAAAGAUGGUGAACUAUGCCUGAAUAGGGUGAAGCCAGAGGAAACUCUGGUGGAGGCUCGUAGCGAUUCUGACGUGCAAAUCGAUCGUCAAAUUUGGGUAUAGGGGCGAAAGACUAAUCGAACCAUCUAGUAGCUGGUUCCUGCCGAAGUUUCCCUCAGGAUAGCAGAAACUCAUGUCAGAUUUAUGUGGUAAAGCGAAUGAUUAGAGGCCUUGGGGUUGAAACAACCUUAACCUAUUCUCAAACUUUAAAUAUGUAAGAACGAGCCGUCUCUUGAUUGGACCGCUCGGCGAUUGAGAGUUUCUAGUGGGCCAUUUUUGGUAAGCAGAACUGGCGAUGCGGGAUGAACCGAACGGGAGGUUAAGGUGCCGGAAUCUACGCUCAUCAGACACCACCAAAGGGGUUAGUUCAUCUARACAGCAGGACGGUGGSCAUGGAAGUCGGAACCCGCUAAGGAUGUGUUAACAACUCACCUGGCGGAAUGRACUASCCUGRAAAUGGAUGGCGCUCAA